GGUGUUUCCCCUCACAGCAGGAGCGAUGUUUCCGCCCGCCGUUGUCGGCCGCUCGCUCCUCACACUCGGGGCUCUCUUCGGGGUGCCGUGGCCCGCCCCGUUUGCACGUGAGGCGGCCGCUUGCGCGGUAAGCUUGAGCCUCUCGCGCUCCCGUCCGGGCGCCGCUGGUUCGCGGAGCACCGGCGGCCGCCACAGCUGCCCUUCCUUGGCUGCUGCCAUGUCCGCCGCGGCCAAAGCCUCCAGCGCACUCAAAUCCGUGGAUUACGAAGUGUUCGGGCGGGUGCAAGGUGUUUGUUUCAGGAUGUACACAGAACAGGAAGCCAAGAAAUUAGGAGUGGUUGGCUGGGUUAAAAAUACCAGCCAAGGAACCGUGACAGGCCAAGUUCAGGGCCCAGAAGAGAAAGUGAAUGAAAUGUCAGUGUGGACAUAAAAGCUUUGUUUGAGUUACUGGAAUGGCUGAAUUUGGGGUUACUUUUCACUUACUUCUUUACUUUGGAACAAAUGACUGCAGUGUUGCUGAGAUUUUUCUGAUAAGAUCUCUGAAAGAAGCCAAAAGUGACUUGCCUAACAUGGCCUAAACAAAGAGGAAAUCCUGGCUGAGCAAAAUUGGAAGCCCAAGUUCCCGCAUCGAUAAAACAAAUUUUUCCAAUGAAAAGGAGAUCUCCAAGCUUGACUUCUCGGAUUUCAACACUAGAUACUAACAGGAGGGCACCUCACUAAGCACAAAACUGACAUUUCUGCUGCAUGAUAUUUUCUGUGCUUCCAUCAAAUGUCACAAGAGCAUUGGAAUGCUUUUCUGUACUAGGGAUAAGUGUAAAUGCUCCCUGUUCCCACCAAGUAAGAAUUCCUGGUUGCUGUGUUAGACAUCUUACACCAUGAAUGUCAACAUUUAGUGUUCAAAAUGCCAAUGUCUAAUUUAUUGCAGCUUUGAAAGACAGAUAAAAGCUUAGAAGUGCUGGUGAUUAUUUGUGCACAAUGAGACUUGUUACAUACAACCAGAUGGUACCUAAUCUUUACACUGUGAGUCAUAUUUAGAUGAAAAAUAAUGAAUUUAUGUUCUACUGUUUGUGAUCUCACCAAAAAUACAUAACUGCAGAACUGAACACUUGAGAGUUCUCUGUAACAAGCCUGUUAUAAAUCAGGCUCUUUGUGACAAUUAAUGAGGUUAUAGUGGUAAUUUAAAAUAAAUAUGUUGUUUCAAACUAGGAUUAUCUAACCAGCUUUGGUUUAAAAUUCUUCAUAAUAAUUCAGAUAAAUCAUAUCCCAAGGUGAUGAAAUGUGUCUCUCGCCCUGUUUUUUCCUCAUCUACCUGUAGCUUGCAUCCGUGCUGACUAUAAAGGAUGUUUUAAUCUCUUUGCUUUUUUAAUGUUCUUACUAAAAUUGAAGAUUUAAGUGAUUUUCUUUA